rnacentral:tRNA from 1 species
CGGAGUGUAGCGCAGUCUGGUAGCGCACUUGGUUUGGGACCAAGGUGUCGGGGGUUCGAAUCCCUCCACUCCGACCA